rnacentral:rRNA from 1 species
AGAGUUUGAUCCUGGCUCAGAACGAACGCUGGCGGCAGGCCUAAAACAUGCAAGUCGAACGAACCUUCGGGUUAGUGGCGCACGGGUGCGUAACGCGUGGGAAUAUGCCCUUCACUACGGAACAACGUCGGGAAACUGACGCUAAUACCGUAUAAUGACUCCGGUCCAAAGAUUUAUCGGUGAAGGAUUAGCCCGCGUCUGAUUAGCUAGUUGGUGAGGUAACGGCUCACCAAGGCGACGAUCAGUAGCUGGUCUGAGAGGAUGAUCAGCCACACUGGAACUGAGACACGGUCCAGACUCCUACGGGAGGCAGCAGUUAGGAAUAUUGGACAAUGGGGGAAACCCUGAUCCAGCCAUGCCGCGUGAGUGAAGAAGGCCUUAGGGUUGUAAAGCUCUUUCGGCUGUGAAGAUAAUGACAGUAGCAGAAGAAGAAGCCCCGGCUAAAUUCGUGCCAGCAGCCGCGGUAAUACGAAUGGGGCGAGCGUUGUUCGGAAUCACUGGGCGUAAAGGGUGCGCAGGCGGUCAUGAAAGUCAGAAGUGAAAUCCCAGGGCUCAACCCUGGAAUUGCUUUUGAAACUCCAUGACUUGAGUAUUGGAGAGGUUAGCGGAAUUCCGAGUGUAGCA